GACGAACGCUGGCGGCGUGCCUAAUACAUGCAAGUAGAACGCACAGUUUAUACCGUAGCUUGCUACACCAUAGACUGUGAGUUGCGAACGGGUGAGUAACGCGUAGGUAACCUGCCUGGUAGCGGGGGAUAACUAUUGGAAACGAUAGCUAAUACCGCAUAAUAUUGAUUAUUGCAUGAUAAUUAAUUGAAAGGUGCAAUUGCACCACUACCAGAUGGACCUGCGUUGUAUUAGCUAGUAGGUGAGGUAACGGCUCACCUAGGCGACGAUACAUAGCCGACCUGAGAGGGUGAUCGGCCACACUGGGACUGAGACACGGCCCAGACUCCUACGGGAGGCAGCAGUAGGGAAUCUUCGGCAAUGGACGAAAGUCUGACCGAGCAACGCCGCGUGAGUGAAUAAGGUUUUCGGAUCGUAAAGCUCUGUUGUAAGAGAAGAACGGGUGUGAGAGUGGAAAGUUCACACUGUGACGGUAUCUUACCAGAAAGGGACGGCUAACUACGUG
rnacentral:rRNA from 1 species